UACGUAGGGGGGCAGCGUUGUCCGGAUUUAUUGGGCGUAAAGGGCUCGUAGGCGGCCAACUAAGUCAGACGUGAAAUCCCUCGGCUUAACCGGGGAACUGCGUCUGAUACUGGAUGGCUUGAAUCCGGGAGAGGGAUGCGGAAUUCCAGGUGUAGCGGUGAAAUGCGUAGAUAUCAGGAGGAACACCGGUGGCGAAGGCGGGUCUCUGGGCCGAUACUGACGCUGAGGAGCGAAAGCGUGGGGAGCAAACAGG
rnacentral:rRNA from 1 species